UUAAGGACCAAACUUCUGGAAUAAAAGGGAAUCAUGACAUGUCACACAUGCCAUGUGUCCUUAAGGGGUUAAGUAGCUUAAAUGUAUUCAUAGGCAAGGGGUGACAUUAUAUGUACCACUGUAGCUGUAGAAAAAUUGAUUCAGAAUGAUUCUUUGCAAAAUAUUAACAGAAAGGUGUACCCCAACUGGUUUAUCAAUACAGAAUAUUUUUUAAGCCCAGUGACUAAUUGGAUCUUAUUCCAAAAGUAAGCAAGUAUAAG